UACGUAGGGUGCAGGCGUUAAUCGGAAUUACUGGGCGUAAAGCGUGCGCAGGCGUCUUCCUACGUCAGAUGUGAAAGCCCCGGGCUUAACCUGGGAAUGGCCAUGGAAACUGGCGAGCUGGAGUGUGGCAGAGGGGGGUGGAAUUCCGCGUGUAGCAGUGAAAUGCGUAGAUAUCGGGAGGAAUACCGAUGGCGAAGGCAGGUCUCUGGGCUGACACUGACGCUCAUGCACGAAAGCGUGGGGAGCAAACAGG
rnacentral:rRNA from 1 species